UCACGAAGUGGUGAUGACCCAACAGAAGAACCCACUUCAAUGGUAUGUGACGUCACAGAGGAUCAAGCGGACCAUGGCGUUAUGGCAGAAUGAAGAAAAGUCAGCGAAUAAAGCUGCCGAAGAAAAGCGCAAGGCGAAGAACAAAGACGAAGACGCCGAUAAAGGAUACACGGUUUGAGGUUUGAGUAUU